rnacentral:lncRNA from 1 species
GGGGUCAGAGACACAUAGCUGCUUGAUGCUCAAGUACAGGCUUCUCUGAAUUUUUUCGCGAGACACUGGGUUGAGUGUUUAGAGAGCAUGUCUGGCAAACUUUCCUGAACCCACCUCAAAGAUCAUCAGUCAUCUCUACUUGCUCUGCUCUGAGUCAGAGUAAAACAUUGAAAAUGUCUCUUUUCCCACAGAUCAUGGGGUACUUGUCCAGCUGGCCUCUCGAUCACCCUGGCCAGAGCCUCCCAGUCCUGCUAUGGGGUGGGUUCCCAGUCCUGUGUCUGUGUGUCCCAUCAGUUUUCAUGCAGAACCUGUCUCCAGAGAGGUGACAGCCACCCUGUCCCACCUCUGCAUCUGCCAUCAGAAGCCUGCACAAUGGCCUCAAACCAGCUCUUACUAUGUGCCCUCAGGUCUCUAGGCAAUAUUCUGUGUAACUGGCUUCUGAAAUAAUAAACAU